rnacentral:rRNA from 1 species
GAUGAACGCUGGCGGCGUGCCUAACACAUGCAAGUCGAACGAUGAAGCCCAGCUUGCUGGGUGUAGUAGUGGCGAACGGUUGAGUAAGACGUGAGUACCCUGCCCUUAAUUUUGGGAUAAGCCCCGGCAACUGGGCCUAAUACCGGAUAGGCGCGUUCACCGCAUGGUGGGUGUUGGAAUGAUCUAUCGGUUUUGGAUGGCCUCGCGGCCUAUCAGCUUUUUGGUGAGGUAAUGGCACACCACGGCGUCGACGGGUAGCCGGCCUGAGAGGGUGACCGGCCACACUGGGCCUGAGACACGGACCAGACUCCUACGGGGGGCAGCAGUGGGGAAUAUUGCACAAUGGGCUCGAGCCUGAUGCAGCGACGCCGCGUGAGGGAUGACGGCCUUCGGGUUGUAAACCUCUUUCAGUAGGGAAGAAGCGAAAGUGACGGUACCUGCACAGGAAGCCCCGGCUAACUACGUG